rnacentral:sRNA from 1 species
GGGGACGUCCUACUAGUGCUUGACUGGUUAGUAAGAAGUUUCUGACCAUUGUACAACUAAUACUUUUUGUCAUAACCAACGAAGAACAGCUUUCAUUGUCUUGCUGUGUAAGUCAUUACCAUAUGUACAUAUAUGCAAUGUCAGGAGUUUAUUACAAAAAAUGAACAAAUGUAAAGAGAGUGGGCUGUCUUGUGUUUUUGCCAGUUGAUGUACACUUAAUCUGCCCUCAUUUGCACCAGUAAGAUCAUUUUUUUGAUAUUGGAAUUCUGAUACAUUGUACUACAUUCACAAGGGGAUAUCUGUUUUAAUGUUACCAAAAAUUUUCAGAAUAAGGGUAGAUUCGUUGUCAAGAUGUAAAAGAUGGUGCAGCCAUUGUUCUUACAUCAAUCAUAUAUAUUUUUUUACACAAUUUAUUUUUGUAUGAUAGUGUCCAAAUACUGAAUGAAAUUACACUGUUUUACAAAAUAAUUGCAAUUCAGAGAGAAAUAUUUGUAAAUAUAUCUAUGCAUGUACUGAUCACUACUCCAAGUAAUUGAGAAAUGUUCCUAAAAGAUUGACGAGCAGGUUCUUCUUUGAAAUUUUUCUGAUAAUGUUAAAAUACCGAAAACUUCUAACCAAAAAACAUUCAUUGGCCACUCUAAGGACUUUGGUGAGUUGGUUUUUUUUUGGUUUCAAUUGCAUAUACAUUGGCAUCAUUUCUUUGUAAAUAUAAAAAAGAGAAAAUACAGACUGUUCUUGUAGCAGGGGACUUUGUACAGGGCUGUUGUUUUUACUCUAGAAUGCAGAUUAGACCUGUUAUUCUUGUGCUUUUUGUCAUUUUGUUAAGUGAAAAGAAUAGAAUUAUGAGGAAUCUGUGCACAUCUAUGUAUAAUUUUAUUAUGUUUGUUUACUUGUUUGUUUUUUUUUAGACAUAAGAAUCAUUUUAAUAACUCAUACUGGUAAUUUUGACAACAUUUUAAUAAUUGAACUGUUUGCGAUCAAAUUUUGGGUUGUGGGGUAUUUAAAUAUGGUAGUAUGGAUUAUGGUAUGCAGUUGUGAGAAGUAGACAUUUUGUUGUAUUACUAAUGAAAAAGCUUGAAGCCUUGUUUUCUAAUCAGGUUCCUUUUAAGUACAUUAUUUAAUUUUUCACACUUUAGUAUUACACUAAUAGAAUACUUUAUCUGCAACAUUGGAAUUCCAAUUCAAAUUCUUUUAUACAAGGGGGCAAUACAUUGUAGUGUGCAGAUUCCCCUUAAUUGUCUUUGUUGACAUGUCACAAAUUGUGCAAUUUAUUUUUGUUUUUUGUAUUAUUAUAUACUAUAUAUCUGUUGUGUGGACACAAAUAUGUUGUCUCCUGUAAAUAGACUUGUACAUAAAUCCAUGUGGCAUAUUUUAAAGAGUAUGUUCAGUAAAAUUCAGCAUUUAAACCU